GUGUUGUGGCUCAGUGGUAGAGCGCUUGCCUAGCAAGUGUGAGGCCCUAGGUUCAAUCCUCAGCACCACACA
rnacentral:tRNA from 1 species